CUCCCCCUUGGGAUCAAUACUUACUGAUUGUGGCUUUUGUAAGACUGUAUGAUGCUCUGCAACUGCAAGCUUGGAUCUGCCAACCUGUAGCGUCCCUUGAGGGGAUUAGUCCCAUCCUCCCCUGGUCUGUUGCGAUACGCAGCCUACCUAUAAUGGCAAAAAGUUUGGUGCUGUAACUGAUCAGAAUGAAUGCUUGACAGAUCUGAAUGCAGUAGGCAGUUGGUAGUUCGAUCUAGCAAGCUGAUGGUUAUGAUUUAGCAGGUGCAAGUUAAUAGUUCUUGAGGUCUGUUUAUGGCAUCAAUAAUAAUUGGAAUUCUAUUUUGAAAAUACAUAUUGGAAUUUUACCAAGGUUUGUGUUGCUGUUAGGUAAUCUAGUUUAUUUUUGGUUUAUCAGAUAAUUUGUUUUCCUCCAUGUAAGUAGGAGCUGCUCAUCCUGUUGGAGCAGACCGAGUCUUUCGCUCUCGCCACGCUGCGUCGUGAGGCAGAGCGCGUCUAGCGUCGUGUGCGUCGGCCGUGGGAUGGCACGGUCACGUUCCGGCAGAAUAGCUGCCGUGAUCUUCCUUGAGGUAGUUUAAAUACCAAUCAAAUAAACAGAAAAC
rnacentral:lncRNA from 1 species